rnacentral:rRNA from 1 species
AGAGUUUGAUCCUGGCUCAGGAUGAACGCUGGCGGCGUGCCUAAUACAUGCAAGUCGAGCGAGAUGUUAGCGCAUGAACCUUCGGGGGAUUAUGCUAACGGACAGCGGCGGACGGGUGAGUAACGCGUAGGCAACCUGCCCCUGACAUAGGGAUAGCCAUUGGAAACGAUGAUUAAAACCUCAUGACACCGUAGAAGCACAUGCUUCAUCGGUCAAAGAUUUAUCGGUCAGGGAUGGGCCUGCGUCUGAUUAACUAGUUGGUGAGGUAACGGCUCACCAAGGUGACGAUCAGUAGCCGACCUGAGAGGGUGAUCGGCCACAUUGGAACUGAGACACGGUCCAAACUCCUACGGGAGGCAGCAGUGGGGAAUAUUGCACAAUGGGCGAAAGCCUGAUGCAGCAACGCCGCGUGAACGAUGAAGGUCUUCGGAUCGUAAAGUUCUGUUGCAGGGGAAGAUAAUGACGGUACCCUGUGAGGAAGCCCCGGCUAACUACGUGCCAGCAGCCGCGGUAAUACGUAGGGGGCUAGCGUUAUCCGGAUUUACUGGGCGUAAAGGGUGCGUAGGUGGUCCUUCAAGUCGGUGGUUAAAGGCUACGGCUCAACCGUAGUAAGCCGCCGAAACUGGAGGACUUGAGUGCAGGAGAGGAAAGUGGAAUUCCCAGUGUAGCGGUGAAAUGCGUAGAUAUUGGGAGGAACACCAGUAGCGAAGGCGGCUUUCUGGACUGCAACUGACACUGAGGCACGAAAGCGUGGGUAGCAAACAGGAUUAGAUACCCUGGUAGUCCACGCUGUAAACG